AUAUGAGGAAUUCCUCCUACCCAACACGUGGCAAUCUCUUGGACUGUCAUUUGUUGGACAACAUUUGUUAUUUUAGAAAUAUAUUUGAUAUCAAAAUCAUACAUGUAUAAUAAAAAGGGUAAGUUUCUGUUUACCAAAAAGAUUAUGGCAAAACAAAUGGUUUUUGUUGACAAAAAAUAAAAAGCAAUUAAUGCUACCCAUGCAUGGUGGGUUGAGAGACUGACAUGUGCUGGGUAGGAGGAAUUCCUACUAC
rnacentral:pre_miRNA from 1 species